rnacentral:rRNA from 1 species
GAUGAACGCUGGCGGCGUGCCUAAUACAUGCAAGUCGAGCGAACAGAUAAGGAGCUUGCUCCUUUGACGUUAGCGGCGGACGGGUGAGUAACACGUGGGUAACCUACCUAUAAGACUGGGAUAACUUCGGGAAACCGGAGCUAAUACCGGAUAACAUUUGGAACCGCAUGGUUCUAAAGUGAAAGAUGGUUUUGCUAUCACUUAUAGAUGGACCCGCGCCGUAUUAGCUAGUUGGUAAGGUAACGGCUUACCAAGGCAACGAUACGUAGCCGACCUGAGAGGGUGAUCGGCCACACUGGAACUGAGACAGGGUCCAGACUCCUACGGGAGGCAGCAGUAGGGAAUCUUCCGCAAUGGGCGAAAGCCUGACGGAGCAACGCCGCGUGAGUGAUGAAGGGUUUCGGCUCGUAAAACUCUGUUAUUAGGGAAGAACAAACGUGUAAGUAACUGUGCACGUCUUGACGGUACCUAAUCAGAAAGCCACGGCUAACUACGUG